rnacentral:rRNA from 1 species
GUCUAUGGCCAUGCCACCCUCAACGUUCCGGAUCUUGUCUGAUCUUGGAAGCUAAGCAGGGUCGGGCCUGGUUAGUACUUGGAUGGGAGGCCACUUUGGAAUACCAGGCGCUGUAGGCA